rnacentral:rRNA from 1 species
GAUGAACGCUGGCGGCGUGCUUAACACAUGCAAGUCGAACGAUGAAGCCCAGCUUGCUGGGUGGAUUAGUGGCGAACGGGUGAGUAACACGUGAGUAACCUGCCCUUAACUCUGGGAUAAGCCUGGGAAACUGGGUCUAAUACCGGAUAGGAGCGUCCACCGCAUGGUGGGUGUUGGAAAGAUUUAUCGGUUUUGGAUGGACUCGCGGCCUAUCAGCUUGUUGGUGAGGUAAUGGCUCACCAAGGCGACGACGGGUAGCCGGCCUGAGAGGGUGACCGGCCACACUGGGACUGAGACACGGCCCAGACUCCUACGGGAGGCAGCAGUGGGGAAUAUUGCACAAUGGGCGCAAGCCUGAUGCAGCGACGCCGCGUGAGGGAUGACGGCCUUCGGGUUGUAAACCACUUUCAGUAGGGAAGAAGCGAAAGUGACGGUACCUGCAGAAGAAGCACCGGCUAACUACGUG